GACAGAGGUCCCGAGCGUUAGACGGAAUCACUGGGCUUAAAGCGUGUGUAGGCGGACGGGUAAGUACCUUGUGAAAUCCCACGGCUCAACCGUGGAACUGCUUGGUAUACUGCUUUUCUUGAGCCACUUAGGGGCAACCGGAACAAAUGGUGGAGCGGUGAAAUGCGUAGAUAUCAUUUGGAACGCCAAUGGUGAAAACAGCUCGCUGGGGGUGCACUGACACUGAGACACGAAAGCCAGGGGAGCGAACGGG
rnacentral:rRNA from 1 species